CAUGUGAUGUUCGUUCAGCGUUUUUGCCUUUUAUUUUGUUGAAUUGGGAUUCACUGAGAGUAUAGUGUGAAAUUUGUAUCGCCAACAUGGUGCACAAGGACACUAUCGAGAGAGUUAGGAAAGUGGCCAAAGUGGCGCGCUUGGUGUUUCAGUACGGCUUCAUUCCAGCCGUCGUCUACUUCGGAUUGAAGCGAGGCAGUGGAGACCCCAGCAUUCCAGACCCUACUCUGCUAAGCUUGGUACCAUUUGCAUCAUAAAUCCCGCUCGAAUGAUGGGGUGCCUCAACUGGCAAACUGUGGCUUGCAAGAGCAAUACUGAGGGGCCACACUCGGAUUAUCUUGUUCACAAAUGACUAUCAGCCGGUGGACGUUGCUAUUGCCGACAUCUGCUAUUUGCUGUGAUGCAAAUGGAUAAAUUGAUCACUUGCUGUAGCAUAGCAGCAAGCUGUAAACAACCGUGUACAUAUCUGUGAGUAUCAGUGCUCCUCCUAUGCUGCUGAUUAACUAUGCUGCUGGCUAUCCUUGUCUCGCUUUUCUGCUGGAUAGUGCGUCCAUUCCUGCUGUGCUUCAAGCUAGUCAUUUUUUACUUCAAAACACUUGAGAGUGGUGCGAACAAAUCACUUCAGAAGAUAUUCUCAUUCGUCUGGGAUGCAAAUAUUCUCUGGCAGAGUGUUGCUGGACAAAUUGUCCGAUAAUCUUUUGGCAAUAACAAUCGGUUGUGCUA